CUCUGGACACAGGCCUUUUCCUGUGCCAUCACCACACAAUAAGGUACAUCUUUUGGUGGGACAGGCAUCCUUGCUUUGUUCCAGCUCUUUUUUUUUACAGACCUCACAAAGCUACCUGUGCCUGAAGCAGAUCUGCUCAAUUGACAAGUAAGAGGCAGUGUCAGAGCUCUUGAUAUAUCAAGUGAACAUCUGCAACAUAGGACUGAGAGAUACUUGCGUCUUGACUGCGCUGCUUUAGGUAACCUGCUGUUUUUGCUCCUCUGUGUCUGGAGGGGAGGGCUGCUGAAGACCCUAGUCUCUUCCAGGUACAUCUCAGUGCCACAAGAAAUGGAAUUUUGCAAGCCUUCAGGAAACUUAACGGCAAGUGAACUUCACACUCCACAAUUCAGUGAUCUUUUUCAGUACAAUCCUUUUGUGCUGACCUCUCCAUUUCCGUCCGCUUGAUCUCUUCACAGUUCUGUCCAAGAGCCCACCACACUCAGGGGAAGCCAGCUCCUCCUGCAGAAGUCAGACCAGCAGAAGGAACUUCCAGGCCCAUGAAUUCACACUUCAGAGGGACAAACAAAAAGG